CCACAGAUGCUGCUUGUCGGUAGGGAAGUCAGUGAAAGUCGGAUAUCCCUUGUCGAGGGCCGAGUACAUCAUACGGUUGAUCCAUGCGCUGAUCCCGUUCCCGGAUCGGUUGAACCUAAUAGUAAGAACAAAUUAUUAAUAAUGAAUCAAAUUUUAAUGAAAAAAAAUAAAAGUUUAAUUACCAUGUUUGACCCCGUCCAUGUGGAUACGGAGUGAGAUAGGGAAGAUGGUCACGACCGGGCUGUCGAACCAACUCCACAAC
rnacentral:lncRNA from 1 species